AAGUGUGGUCUCAUGAUCAAAUAUAUCAAAAAUGUUGAGAGUAAAGCUGAAAUGUGGAAAUGGCAAAAUUGAUUAGUGGGCUGUUUGUCCUAAUGCUCCUUCAUCUUUGAUCGUUUUUAUACUUCCAUCUAUGUAUCCACCAACUAAGUUUUACGGACCACGAAGACUUCUUUCACAUCCUGAGGAUCUUCUGAGUGUUGCUGUGCUGUUAUGGUUGCUGCAUCACUGGCUUGGCUGACGGAGUUGAGAUCAGACUUAAAAAUGCGAGGAGCCACAAUAAGCUGUGAACGGAAGGAUCUUUAACGAGCACCUUGGAGGAUAAAAUCUGAAUUUGAAUUGAUCUUAAGGUGAAGAAUUAGGAUCAAAUAACCAAUGUAGGUAAGUGCAAAGAAAGAAACAUCAGAUAAUAUUUGGCAUGAUAGUUGGUCAGCAAAAACAGAUCUGGUGGCUAUAGUGUGUUGUAAAGCAAAAUGUGCAGAAUGUGUGCCAACAAUGCAGCGUUGCUAGGAAAAAAAAAAAGCUAUUUUUAGUUUGGAAGAUUAUUCAACAUGGGGGAAGAUAUUUUUCUGUCUUGGGAUUUGGAUCCUUCAUCUGAAAUAUCAGCUUG